rnacentral:lncRNA from 1 species
AGAGAAUGUCCUUUGCUUUUGCACAAUUAUAUCAAAAUUUUCUUUGAUAAGAUUUUGCAGAUUCAUGUUCUACGGUAGAUUCAUUGCGAGAGAAAAAAGAUGCACGAUUGUGGCGGCCAUGGAAGCCUAAAAUGUGAUCCUUGGUGGGUCAUCUUGCAGUCUUUCUGUUGGGCCGACACCAAGUAAAAAUGGGAAAGGAAUAACUUAAACAAUUGGACACCCACAUUUCACACAAGACUAUAUUGAAUAAUAGCAGCAUGAGCUUCAUGAGCAUCGCAUAUGCAUGGUUUAUGUUUGUGCUUCGGGGAAGGUAAAACUCUGAAAGUACUAAAGAAAAAAAAGAAAACAGUUAAAGAUAAUAAUUUGGGGUGAUUCUAAUAAUAGUAUUUCGAUGCUCAAAUUAAAAAUUGACCUGAGAAUAAAAAAAAAAAUAAUGAAGUAAAGCUCAAAAGUUAAAAGGUUUAAGAUGACUUAUAAAUAUCAGGAUAAUGUUAUUUAUACUUAUAUGAUGGAAUAUUUUUGGCUUAGGCUGUUGAGGUUUAACUUUAAGAGAUUAUAAUUGAUUUUGUAAGCAUGAGCUGAGUUGAUUGUUAAUUGUUCAUUCAGGAUGUGACAAGUUAACAUCUAGAAUUAUUAGCUUGUUGGUUGUUGAGGUAAUAAUUUAGAUUGACAUAACACAUCAGCUCGAUUAAAAUAAUCAAAUUUUUUUUGCUUAUCAGUUGACUUAUAUUAAUUGAGUAAUGUCUAUUUUACCUUUUGGUCAUUAAAAUACCUUAACAGUUUAUGUGAAUAAUUAUUUUAUUAUGAUUGUAUAAUUUUGUGUGUAUAUAACUUUUUUUUGUUUUUUUGGUUACAUUAGGAAGGCAAAACCUUAAUAUAAGUAAAGGGAAGAGAGGAGGUUUAGUUCGAAAUGAGAUCCUUGAUAUUCCUUCAAGUGACUUUAUCUACUAGGCUAAAGGCUUGAGGACUUUAUUAAAUGAAAAAGGUGUUUUGUCAAAGUUUACAUGGUUAAAUUUGAUCAUGAAUAUGACAGUUUCAAACUCAGGUUUUCAACAGCAUUAGAAGAACAAUUAUUUUAUUAUGAUCGUGAUGAAAGUGAUGAUACAGUGAAUGAGAAAUGGGUCGAUCAUUGAUUUGUCUCUAGAAAGAUUCUUGUUUGUGAGUGAAAACAACCGCAAAUCAAUGCUGCAGAAAUAUAGAAUGUCACUAGUCAAUUGGAUUGAUAUUUAUGCCUUCCACUGUGACCAACUAGUAGAUCAAAUUUAGCCAAGCAUUUGGCUCAAUGACAAAGCGAUUAUAUUUCAUUUUCAAUGAGUGAAUUCAGAUGUCUGUUCUUCAAAAAUAAUUGAUUGAAUUUACUUGCAUUCUUUUGGGAAAAAACCAAGGGAUUUUGAUAUCUGAUCGUAUUCAUAACCACGUCAGAUUUUCAAGGUGAAUUAAACUCAAUCAAUGGAAUAGCAUAGACAAGGGCAGUCGGCAAAAUUGAAAGCUGAUAGCAUUUCAGGAAAAAGAUUUUCCAUGAUAUGAACGUUCAUCAGAUUGACCUCCCAUCAAUUACAAAGAAGAAAACCCCAUGUGAGCAAAAACUUAACCUGUUAACCAGGACUGUUUGUAACACAUGCUGACAAUUUCUCCACCAAACCUGUUAACCAGGACUGUUUAUAGCACAUGCUGACAAUUUCCACCAAACCUGUUAACCAGGACUGUUUAUAGCACAUGCUGCCAAUAAUUAAGGUGAAGACAUGAGCUUAAUUGGCAAAGAGGAAGAGAAUGGGCAAUCAUGAGUGAAAUGUGAAAGAUUUUAGGAUAAGAACAACUUCCAUCUACCCUUCUUAAAUACAGCAAAAUGUUCAUUGCAUUUCAAUCUGCUCAACUCAACCUAGGAUUUUCUUCUUAGUAUCUUCAAUAAUUACAGAAACAUGACUCGUGUAUAUGUCAAGUCAAGCACUUGACAAAGUGAACUUUAUUUUUUUUUUCCAGGAAAAGUCGGUUCAAUUCUUAUUAAGUUCAGACGCUCUCAUGAAGGUGAAAAUGUUGCUAUAGCUACAAGUACUGGUAUGUCUAGUCAGGAUCCAAGUACUGGUAUGUCUAGUCAGGAUCCAUCAUUGAGAAAAUUUAAUGAAGGAACAAUUGAAAGAAUUUGAAGAAAACUAGUUCUAAAUCAACAAAAAUGGAAUUCUAUUGCAUUAUAGCAACCUGAAAGAUACUAUCAGUAAUGGUAUUUAUAUUCACAUAGAAUAGUUUCAUCCUCAAAGGGGUUUCCGAAACGGACUACUGAGCAUCAGCUUCCUCUUCAAAAUUACCUCAGUUUCAUAUUAGUUUCCGGUAAUCGAAUGACUUCGUCAGAUCCUUUGUCUGUGUACGACUUCUAUCUGUUAUCUACUUUUAACUGCUUUAUGGGUGGUGGAAUAGAACUUUAUAUCAGAUUGCAAUUGAAUUGAAUCUGAAAGCAUUUGAUGACUCUGAAAGUCAUGCUUGAAGCUUUUGUUGUAAAGUCCAAUCAUUUUUAAUCGAUGGUCUUUCAAAAAAGUAAUAAACCUAAGGAUUUGAUAACCAAAAAAUGCACAACUUACUUACCAGCAUGUGGUAUUCUCUACAGUGAUAUGCUUGAUUUCCCGAAAUCUGAAGUACUGUUGUAUUUAGGAUUUUGUUAAUAUUUCAUUCCUAGAUCCGAAAACUUGACAGAAUAGUCAACUUUGGACUGAGCUGAUCAAACUUAUUAAGAACAACAGGUGUGGUGGAUCGAGGAUUUGUUUUCGGAGGUAUCAACGUAUAAUAUAUAUGAAAAAUUGUCGACGGAUUUAUCAAUUUUAUGGGCAUGGCAUUUCAAUUUAUGACUUAAUCUUCUGCGGAGAUAGAGAUGCUGGAUGCAUGAUACUAGCUAUUAAGAUUUUAUUUCCUGUGAGUCAGAAAACUAAAGUGACAUUUAAGAAACGAUAGAUCAUUAGAUCUCAGUUACUGAUAAACAAUUAGCAAUCACAGGCCCAAGACAAGUUUUGUUCAGAAGAAAGGAAAAAUAUUUUGGGCCCAAAUUAUUGGGUUAAUAAGGUCUACGAUAGUGAUAGAAGCAUUGAGGCUUCACUGUUCAUUUUGGAAAAUGCAAAUGUAUCUAUACUCCCACUCCCCAAUAAGAAUUAUGGGAUUCUUUGAUCCAAACGGUGAUAAGGGUAGCUUAGUGCUUCUAGUUUUAAUCAAAAUUUCAAUAUUAGAGCUUAAAAUUUUUAAUGUAUCUGGUAAUGAACCUUCUUCAUUCAGCAUGGCACACUCCAUAACUUCCCCUUAUCCCCUCACCAAAGCAAAAGCAGAGACUAAUUGAAUCCUUCAGCACAAUAAAUUCCCAUUCAAACGUGUUUAACAACUUGAGGAAAAAAAAGGAUUAAACAUGUUAAUUUAAAUCUAUGAAAUGCUGCUAAUUUCCUUUACAGGCUCAACAGACAGACAGUAGCUGUUGUUGCCACAUUCAAACAAAUACCAAGCAACGUAUAAUUAUCAACACCUAUGCAUCAUCAUUCACGAUUGGUCAAAUUAAUUUGUUAUGAGAGAUAAGAAACAAGCACAACAUAGAUGCAAGUGACUGGCCCUUGUUACCAAAACAAUUACUAAUAGACCAAGGGCCAUGAGAAGGUUUGAACCUGAGAGGUUACCAAACAAUUAGCAUAUGAGCUUUCAUCUGAAGGGAUCAGAAGACAAGAUCCAGCAUAAUGACAUAAAAAUAAAGGCCUAAUUGUUCAAUUGGCAAAAAAGACAGAGAUUGUCAACUCCAUUGGUUGUCUAGUUUCAGCAAAGCUGUAUAUAAACUAUUGGCAGUAAGACAUGCAGAAUUCUUCGGAUUUCACACUCAGGCUUCAAGGCUAAGUUUAGGCUAAAUUUCAACUAAAAAGCUUAGGUUGUAAAUCCCCCUUCAAUCAAUUUGUAACUAGUUCUAAUUCCCAAGUUUCUUUUCAUUCAAUGUGCACUUUUAUUAGAUCCUUGUAACUGAUGCUAUGAAUUAUAAAGCAAUAUAGACAGAUCUGACAAGAAAAACUGGAUUACUUGAGAUUUUAAUCUCAAGUAACAACCAAUAAGAUUAAUGUCCCCUAUUCAAGCCUUUAAAACUUGAUUCAAUAUCACAUCUACAACCCAUUUUGUAGCCUACUAACAGCAGUUGAUUCAACAAAAGAAAGCAUAACAACCAUUAGUGCAGUUUGGCAAUCCAUCUUGUCCUUGUCCCUGAAAUAAGAACAAAUCAGCAGAGUAAUUAAAUUUAAAGAUGUGAUUGAGAAGGGCAAACAACUGCAUUUCCUUUGAUUAACUAGUUGAUUAUAUGGGCAAGAAAAUUAAUGUACAAGGAAAUUAAGGUUGAGUUAUAUCAACAAAACCUCCUUGAUUAAGAUAUUGGCAAUGAUUGCACUAUUUCAAUCAAUAAUCAGACAUCAUUAGUUAUAACUUAGAAUCAUUUGUUUCAUCAACAAAAUUUGGGAUUAGUUCCAUCAUAAUAGUGAACCAAACAUCUUAUUCGAUUGCUAUAGAAAAUUAAGUAUCACAAAAGGAAGCAACUUUACAAGAAAAAGCAAAAGAAAACCAAUUUUCUUUAUUGACCAAUUGAUUCAAUGAGCAACAACAUCAGAAUUUAACACAUUAAUCAACAAAUUUUCACCAUUUCUAUUACUUCUACUCUUCCUAUUAUUAUUAUUGUUCUCCCUAGAUUCUAAAGUUUGACUAGAAGUCCCCAAAUUGACCGGCAAAACAGAUUUGGAAGCCAAAAGCUUCUUCCUUUGGAGACAAAAUGGACCUCCAUAGAUUUUAUUGAGGAACCUUGGGAUUUGAUCAAAAUCUGAAAUUUGGAUCUGGGUUUGGCUUGGAAUCUGAGUUGGGACUGAUUCAAGUCGGACUGAGUUGAGUUUGUUGGAUCUGGCAUUGAUUUUGGAGUCUCUUAAUUGCGCUAAAGCUCCAGGCUUUAGAUACUUGUGGAAUGCUUCAGUUUUGAAGGAUCUUGAGAUGGGUUUCAUUUGGGAAAAUUUGGGAUGGAUUUAGAGUAAGUAUUAGUAGUAUCUUUAUUUUAGUAGAGAAAGAUGGGAUUUUUAUAGAAAAGAGGAGUGUUUGAGAGGCGGGAAAAUAAGGGAGGGAAAAUCGGUGGAAAUUAGGGCUGAGAAAGAAAGUGAGAGACAGUUCUUAGGGCUUUGAAAAAGGAUAGGGCGGGAACUGCAUGGACAGGUGGACUAAGCCACGUGAUUUCUGUUGUUUAUUAAAGUAGAAAAUGAAAAUAAUUGAAAAAUUGGAAGUUUGUGGUUGAAUUUAUUAAAAACACAAAAUCAUAAAUAAAUAAAUAAAUUGAAUUUCUAUGAGAAAAAACACUUUUAGUACUAUAUAAUUAUUUUUCAAUUAUCCAAAAAAUUUAUUGUUUUUAGAGUGUUUAUUAUCUCAAUAAUAAAUUUUAUUGAAAUUUAAAAUAAAAAAACCAAGAUUUCAUUGUUUAAUAAAAAAUAUAAUGUGCACUAAAAUUGAAGUUUUGCAAAUAAUUAAAGAUCCUCAAAAUAUCUUAGGUAUUUAAUUGAUGCUCAUCUAAUUUGUUGAGAUCUACGUGUUUUUUUUUUUUUUUAAGGUUAGUUUAAAUUAUUGUUAUUUUUAAAAAAGUUUGAUUAAAAAAAUUUUGUUUAAAAAUAUGAUAAAAAAAGUGUGAUUAUAAAUUUUAAGUAUUUAGUAUUAUUGAGAAAAAUUAUUUUGAGUAAUUAAAAAUUUAAAAAUAUAUAUAAUUUAAUAUUAAAAUAUAAUUAAAUUAAUUUAUAUAAUUAUUUUUAAAUGAUGAAAUUCGAUAAAUUUAAUAUUUAAAUUUUAAUUCCCGCAACACAUUUUUCUAUCUCCAAUGCGGCCACUGCAUGUAGAACAAAGUCUUGGUUGCCCAACAUUGUAAGGGAUAUGAAUAGCAUGACCUAGAAUGAUGUGAGCUCCUCAAGUUCUUAAGCAAGAAAACAACUCUGAACUCCAAAGAAACAUCCUGCUAUUCUGCUGAGUGCAUGAUCAAUUCAGCCACAAGCCAUUGCUCAACCAUGGAUUUUGAAAGUUUGAUUCCAGACUAAGGAAGGGACCUUCAAAUACAUGUAAUAGUGUCUAAUGAAAACAAUCUGAAUUGGUUAAUGCAUGUAGGUGUACAAAAAAAUUUUCAUCUUUCGUACGGUAAAUCCAAAAUUUUUGGAAUAAAAUACUUUUGAUUAAUGCACAUAAUAUUGGAAAUUGGAUGCAUAGAUGUCACUGACUUCUUUGAUUGAAACAAUCUUUUGAUUAUUUUAAAAACUAAUUGACUUUGUGGUUUACAUUACCAGUGAGUGCUGUUCCUGAUCCACUACACUUGCUGCCCCCUUAGUUCUGACCUACAGGCUACAGCUUCUAUUCACGAUAUGUAGCCCUCAAUGCUUUAAUUGACGGCCCCUUUUGAAUUUCCACCUUGUCAACUUAGCUUUCAUAGAAAAAAAUUAUACCUAGGGGCGGCUUAAGUGUUUGCCUAGUUGACGGUUCCACCUCCGCAUUCAAAGACAAGUUCGAUUUUCCUUUCUCCAUCCCAAACCAUUAACCAUGGGAAAUGAUAUCUGGCAAAUUAAGUUGCCAAUUGGACUGUUUUUAAUGUUCUUUCUAAUUGGAAACUCGUAGAAAUCGAGAGAUUAGCAUUCUAUCAAUAAAUUACAACACUGCUCACGGCAGUUCCUGGAAUUUGUAUCAUAUCAUUUAAAACCAUGGAUAUGGACAUAACAAAGCUGGAAAUAUCCUUCUUUCUUGGUCUGGCUUGCCAUUUCCAACAAAGAGGGAAGUUUUGAUGAAAUCAAUGAAAACCCAAAACUGGUAUGCUAGAAAAGUACGAAAGUUCCCACUUGGCAAAUUAUAGGGAGAUUCAUUUUAUCAAGGAAAUUGAUUUUGAAACGGCACCUCCACCUAGUACUACAAAUCACUGUCCUUGCCUACUUUAAUGUCCAAUGCCUAUCCAGAGAUGACAGAAACAGGCGUGAAACUACGCUCCAACCAUCCCAACAGAAUAUAAUAAUAUAAGGAUUCUCAAUAUCUCUACGGCUAAUUGCCUUUGUAUUCUCUUUACAGCAAACUGAAAAAUAAGAUAAAGAAACCAAUCUUCAAAUUAUACAUAUAGUCCUUGAUUAACUAAAGGAGAUGCCUUCUUGUACAGAUCCUGUUGCCAACAAGCUUAUGGCACCCCAAGUAAAAGAUGGUGGGACAUGGUUUAAUGAUUUUUUUUUUUUGUUUUUAGUUUCUGAUUUCUGGGAAAGUUUGUUGUAAUGAAUAAUCAAGGUUGUAGUGAAUGCAUGGUUUUGUUUUGAUCCUAGUCUUUGUAAAUGUCUUAGGUUGUUGAAACAUGCAUAUUCUGUCUGGUUUCUAUUUAAGUUUUACUGCUAUAGAGUUGCAUUUUUUUUUUAAAUAAUAUAUCUCCAGGAUUUGCCUGGGCCGAAUUCCUCCCCGGGAUAGUUGCUGUUUUUCUAAUGCUUUUGUUGUAAUCUAUUCAGCUUCUGAACAUGCUUUCAAAGCAAUACUAACAAGUCUUCCCAAGCCUGGAGGUGGAGAGUUUGGCAAAUUCUAUAGCUUAUCUGCUUUGAAUGAUCCAAGAAUUGGUAUGCUGCCAUAUCUCAUGCAUCUUAUAUAUAAACUUACAUAUCAGGAAAAAAAAAAAAAAGGGAAUGCUUUGAAUUGAAAUAACAUUUUGACUGUAUCACUCCAUAAAACUCAUGCUAGCAAUUUUUUUUUUUUAAUUUGUUUCUCUUUGUUGUUUUAAUAUGUUAGACCGUCUGCCAUACUCUAUAAGGAUCCUUUUGGAAUCUGCUAUACGUAAUUGUGACAACUUUCAAGUUACGAAGGACGAUGUUGAAAAGAUCAUUGAUUGGGAGAAUACAUCACCGAAGCAAGUUGAAAUCCCAUUCAAGCCUGCUCGUGUUCUCUUACAUGUAAUUUGUAGGAUAAAGAGAUCAUUGAAUCUUAUCUUAGGAUUUUUUUUAGCAAACUGUGAACUUUUCUCUUGUAUUUACCAGGAUUAUACUGGAGUGCCAGCUGUGGUUGAUCUUGCUAGCAUGCGAGAUGCUAUGAAGAAUCUUGGCAAUGAUCCUAACAAGAUUAAUCCACUGGUUUGUAAUUGGCCCUUACAUGCAUUUUUUUGCCUUCUAUAGUUUGCCAUGAGUAUAUGUGGCAGUUGAUACUACAACAUGUCAUUUAACUGAUUGUUUAUUUUUGCAACCAGAUCCCAGUGGAUUUUGUUGUUGAUCACUCAGUCCAGGUUAAUGUUACAAGAUCUGAAAAUGCCGUACAAGCAAACAUGGAACUUGAGUUUCAGAGGUACAAAGAGAGAUUUGCUUUCAUUAAAUGGGGUUCAUCUGCUUUUCAAAACAUGCUUGUUGUUCCUCCUGGUUCUGGAAUUCUUCACCAGGUAAAGAUAUUUUUUCAUUUUGUAUCCCAUUCUUGCAAUGACAAUAAUUCACUGUUAUUUGUUCAAACCAAUGAGCAUCUGUUGAAUUGUCUCUGGCUCAAUGCUUCGCUGUUAAUAGUUCUGUUUUGUAUGCUUCGGCACUGAGUGUGUCUCUGGAUUGAAUUUGUAGGUUAACCUGGAAUACCUUGGACGUGUUGUCUUUAACAAUGAUGGAAUACUAUUUCCUGAUAGCGUGGUUGGUACUGAUUCACACACAACAAUGAUAGAUGGGUUAGGAGUUGCUGGCUGGGGAGUCGGAGGAAUUGAAGCAGAGGCAGCAAUGCUAGGCCAGGUAAUCUCUGCCCCUUUUUCUUCAUUCUCAAGCAUUGCUAUCUAGUAGAAAGCUUAUUUACUUUUGUUUCUAAUGCUUUAUUUUGCAAACUUAAUUUACAGCCCAUGAGCAUGGUAUUGCCUGGUGUUGUUGGAUUCAGGUUGUCUGGGAAAUUGCGAGAUGGUGUCACAGCCACCGAUUUGGUUUUGACUCUGACACAGAUGUUGAGGAAGCAUGGUGUUGUUGGCAAAUUUGUUGAGUUUUAUGGUUAGCUUUAUGAUCACAAAUCUGUGAAAAUGAAAUAUUUAACCAUCAACAUCUAGUCUAAAGGGCUUUAACAUCAUUAUUAUUAUUUUUAAUGUGCAUGUAGGAGAGGGUGUGGCUGAAUUAACAUUGGCUGAUCGAGCCACAAUUGCAAAUAUGGCUCCUGAAUAUGGAGCAACCAUGGGAUUCUUCCCUGUAGAUCAUGUAACAUUACAGUACCUUAAGUUAACUGGCAGAAGUGAUGAGACAGUGAGUUUUUUCUUUUCCUUCGGGUUUCCUUUCUUGUGCUAACUUCUCAAAUUAGUUUGGUUACUGAAGUCAUGUUGGUGGUUUAACAUAUGUUUCUUAUCUCUCAGGUGUCGAUGAUAGAAGCUUAUUUGCGAGGGAAUAAGAUGUUCGUUGACUACAAUCAGGUAGUGUUUCGUCAACUUCAGUAGAUAGGAAAGUAAAUUAAGAUGGCUAUCAUCAAUCUGACAUCAAGAGGACUAAUUUCAUGAACAGCCUCAAAAAGAAAGAGCGUAUACUUCUUAUCUACAAUUGGACCUUGCUGAUGUUGAACCAUGUAUUUCAGGGCCAAAACGGUAUGCACUGGUUUCAACUUAGCCACUUAUUUUUCUUCAAUGAUCUUCAUUGUUUUUCUGCUGAUUCGCAGUUUUCUUUGAUGCUUUCGAACAGGCCUCAUGACCGAGUCCCUUUGAAAGAAAUGAAGGAUGACUGGCAGGCAUGUCUUGAUAAUAAACUUGGAUUCAAGGUUAGAUGCAGACAGCUUCCUUGCACUUGGUUCUUCAGAAGCCUCUUGUGUGAUUAGUUGCCACACUGUUAGUUUACUGAAAACAAUUCAUAGGUAAUUGGAGUUGUUUUCUGGUGAAACCUUUCCAAACGUCUGUAUCCAAUAAAGCCCAGCCGGUGAGAAUUUGGGACCUUUAAUUAGGAGGUUUUAAGUUUAAAUCUUGGUAUGAGUGUUGGUUUAGUUGGAUAGGACUGGCUACCUCAGCACCUCUCCUUGUGUAGCCUACAGCUCAAUCGGCUCCUAUGCACCAACAAUUUGUUGUAAUCUGUUCAUUUCUUCGGUCUCAUGGUUAAGCAAUUGAAGAUAUUUUUAAUUUAUUCAUAUUUUGGAAUUUUGUGCCAUAAUUUGUGAUCCUUGUUUCCUUGCGCAGGGUUUUGCUGUGCCAAAGACAGAGCAGAAUAAAGUUUCAAAGUUCACAUUUCAGGGACAGCCUGCUGAACUUAAGCAUGGUAGUGUUGUCAUUGCAGCUAUUACAAGUUGUACAAACACUUCAAAUCCUAGUGUCAUGCUUGGGGCUGCUCUUGUGGCUAAAAAGGCCUGUGAGCUAGGUUUGGAGGUUAGUGUUAGGCUCUUGGCUUCUUAAACUUGUUCCUCUUUGCUCAAAAAGAAAAACCACCCUGCUGUAGAUAGAAGAUCAGUCCUUCUUUAAUUUUCUUAUAUUUACUUCACUUUUUUAUAUAUCUCAGGUUAAGCCGUGGGUUAAAACCAGUCUUGCUCCUGGUUCUGGAGUUGUGACAAAAUAUUUGCUCAAGAGGUAUGUCCAUUGAUUGCUAUAUUUCGACUGGGAGUUUGUCAUCCCUGUUGUUUCUUUUCUCUUCUAAAAGGACAAGAAAAAAAUCCAUGAAAGAGUUACAUUUGACUCUUGUUUUGGUGUCUGUAGUGGGCUGCAGAAAUACCUGAACCAGCAGGGCUUUAAUAUUGUUGGCUAUGGUUGUACAACUUGUAUAGGGAAUUCUGGAGAACUUGAUGAAUCAGUCGCUUCUGCAAUUUCAGAAAAUGGUAAAAUUUUGUGUUAUAUGGAAUGCUGUUUCUUCAAUUGCUGCAUUUAUCGCUUAUGAAUUGCCAGGAAAGCUUCGAAUUAAAGCUUUUCUUGUCAGUUUGGGAUCUUUUCUCUAAAGUGUGAUGAUUAUCUCCAAUGAUACUUAAAACUUCACCCAUUUUCACCAGCUCCAAUUUUACGGUCAUUCAAUUUUUUAUUUUCCUCAACACUUGGUCCUUGUGAUAUCAUUGUAAUUUCUUUUCAUUGAUUACUAUCUUGAUUACUGUUAUAGAUAUUGUUGCUGCGGCUGUUCUUUCUGGGAAUCGAAAUUUCGAAGGACGAGUUCAUCCACUGACAAGAGCUAACUAUCUUGCUUCACCUCCCUUAGUUGUUGCCUAUGCCCUUGCUGGCACGGUAUGUAUACAACCAUUACUUGUUUAUUUCUCAUCUUGAUAAGAAUCCAAAUUUCAAAUGUCAAACCUGAUUUUCUCUUUUGCAAACAAGCUUUGAAACUUUGCAAUCUGGUGCUGAAUCGUUUAGUUCUUCCUGUCAUACUUUUCAGGUUGAUAUUGACUUUGAGAAAGAGCCCAUAGGAACAGGAAAGGAUGGUAAGAGCGUGUAUUUCAGGGAUGUAUGGCCUAGCAAUGAAGAGAUUGCAGAGGUAAACUGAGAUAUGCUUGGAGAAACUAUUUGAAAGAAGGGACACAAUGAUAUUGUCUAAAAUUUUGAGCCCAAAUAAUGUGGAAUUCCAUGUUGUAAUAGGUGGCUCAAUCCAGUGUCUUGCCUGAUAUGUUCAAGAGUGCAUAUAUAGCUAUCAGAAAGGGCAAUCCUAUGUGGAAUCAGCUUGAUGUCCCAGCUUCUACUCUCUACUCUUGGGAUCCGAACUCGACAUACAUUCAUGAGCCUCCAUACUUCAAAAACAUGACAAUGGAACCACCAGGUCCACAUGAAGUGAAAGAUGCCUAUUGCUUACUCAAUUUUGGUGAUAGUAUUACUACUGAUCAUAUUUCCCCAGCUGGUAGUAUCAACAAGGAUAGCCCUGCAGCAAAGUUUCUUCUUCAGCGAGGACUGAACCAGAGGGACUUCAAUACCUAUGGUAGUCGUCGAGGCAAUGACGAAGUGAUGGCAAGGGGUGCAUUUGCCAAUAUCCGCAUUGUUAACAAGCUCUUGAAGGGAGAAGUGGGUCCAAAGACAAUUCACGUUCCGACAGGAGAUAAGCUUAAUGUAUAUGAUGCAGCAAUGGUGAGUGUUAGCACUUAACACUGGUAUUCAGAAAUACAUUACUUAAGCUUAGACCACAGUUACUAAGUAGUGAAUAUCAUCUACUUGCAGAGCUACAAGGCUGCUGGGCAGGACACUAUUAUCUUAGCUGGAGCAGAUUAUGGAAGUGGCAGCUCACGAGAUUGGGCCGCCAAGGGUCCAAUGUUACUGGUGCAGACACAUAUCUAUUGUUUCUUGAUUAUGUUUCUAGCUGCUUCUCUUCUUUAUCGUCUCUUAUUCACCCUUCCUUCCACAAUGGUUUUUCUGCUGUGUUCAGGGAGUCAAAGCAGUGAUUGCUAAGAGCUUCGAGAGAAUCCAUCGUAGUAAUUUGGUUGGUAUGGGGAUCAUUCCACUUUGUUUCAAGCCUGGAGAGGAUGCAGAUACUCUUGGAUUAACAGGUCAAGAGCGUUAUACAAUUAACCUUCCAAGUAAAAUCGGUGAGAUAAGACCUGGCCAAGAUGUUACUGUCACAACUGACACCGGCGAAUCCUUCACAUGCACCGCCCGGUUCGAUACAAAGGUAUGUCAAGACUCAACAGUUAUAGGAAGAGAAAAGGGGACUUUUUUCCAAGCAUUCAGCAUUAUAACCACUGGCUUGAUGUAUAUAAAUGUUUCUGAUUCACGAUAAUUUGUCUGCAGGUGGAAUUGGCAUACUUUAAUCAUGGUGGCAUUCUUCCAUUUGUUAUUCGUAACCUGAUACAGGAGUAGGCAAUUUAGCUUCAAAUCUAGCCUCUCCACUUUGCAAUCUGCAUUGAUUGAUCUCUUUAAAAGCUGUUUUGGGGGGAGGGGGGUCUUCUGCAUAUAAACACUAGCAUAGCAGAGAUUUCUCGAGGCUCUAAAUAAGAGCGGGAAAUCUGGUGCUGCUUACAUAAAGUGGGGUAAUGAGGUGUAAUAAAGUUGUUAAUCUAUGUUCAUUAGAGUGGGAAAGAGAAAAAAGAAAAUGGAUGUUUGUAUUUUUUUUAAAAGAAAAUAUGAAUCAGAUUGGAAGAUCAAGUAAAUAGCUUUUCUGGUCUAGUACAUCAACCAACAGAUCGAAUUUGUAUGAAUCCUAAAGCUUUUCUUUGUGACAAGAAAUUUAUUAUAUGUAAAUCUUGAAUAUCUAUAUUGUUACAAUACAUUAAUGUUGUUAAACUGUAAAUCAAUGCUUCAUUCUCUCCAGUCUCCAUCUAAUUUGUGGUGUAGAAUGAAAAGAUUUUGAAUAGUUCAGUUCUUUUGACAAGAACAUCAAGAUAAAUAUUCCAUAUAAUGUCAUUAAUAGUACGGCACUGAGACUAGAGAGGUUAUUAAGAUGCAGAAAAUUGCAACAAUAUAUCAAUAAUAGAAUUACUGAACAAAGCAACUUCUCUUUAUUCAGUUCUCGAAAUAAGAAGCUCAAGUUACCUGUUAUAUUACAAUCAUAAUCAUUAAAGUAUGCACUUCAUAGCUAGCAUAUUUCAGCUUCAUCAAAAGGAUAUUGGAGAAAAGAGAAAGAUACAAGAAAGAAAUAUAAAAAAUUGGUGAAACUAUGACACUAUAUAAGUGCCUCAGCUCCAGCAGCGACUUCUAAAAUCUCACUAGUGAUUUUUACCUGCCGUUCUCGAUUAUAGACAAGGGAAAGAUUCUUCUUCAAUUCAACUGCAUUAUCAGUAGCAUUACUCAUUGCAUUCAUCCUAGCCGCAAGCUCACUCGCUAAUGAUUCCUGCAAUGCCCGCAAGAUCUGACUAUUCAAAUAAAGAGGCAGCAGGGCAUCAAGAAUCUGAACUGGAUCUUGCUCAAACAGCAUAAGAGGUGAAAGUUCCUCUCGUUCUGCCCUCACUCUUUCCCUCUUCACAAUCAGCUUCCCUUCCUUGGUUGUCAACCGAAACAACUCAUCCUCUAUAGCAUCAACACAAUUCCCAUUCACAUCAAAAGUCUCUCCUUUCACUGACAAUGGAAGCAAAGUACGAAUCACCGGAUCCGACUUUAACAAAGACACAAACUUUGAAUACACAAGUUCAACCUUAUCAACCUCUUCACUAACAAAUAAUGAGAAAACGAUAUCAGCAAUUAUAUGAGCUUCUUUUACCGUAGGAAACCCUCCUCCUUCAACAAGCCUAUCAACCAAAACAUGAUCUUUACGCCUAAAAUAAGAGUUACCCUUUUUUCCUACACUAAUAACAGUAUAAUCCAAUCCAAGACCUUUCAAUUCCACAAUUCGGGACUCAGCCUUUUUAAUAACUGCAUUGUUGAAACUACCACAAAGUCCUCUAUUACCAGUUAUAACAACUAGAGCUACUUUCUUUACAGGCCUAAUAACAGUUAAAGGACAAUCAAUAUCUUCACCUUGUAAAUUUUCAUUAAUGGUGCGAAGGAACUCAACUAAAGCCUCAAUAAAAGGCCUACCAUUGAUGACAGCUUCUUGAGCUCUCCAGAGCUUUGCAGCUGCUACCAGCUUCAUUGCUUCAGCGAUUUUUUGAGUGUUUUUUACUGUUUCAAUUCGUUCUCGGAGCUCACGGAGACGGCUUCUAAUUGGAGCAAAGGGUGAAGGAGAUUGAGAGAGGCCUUUUGAGGGUAAUAUUUGAGGGAAUUGGAGAAAUGGGUUUUGGUUAAAUUGAUAAAAGAGUGUAUUUUUGUUGGAAUUUGAAGGUUUUGAUGAGAUCCAACUCGGUAGAUUUGAAGCAUACAUGAUUCUGAGAGAGGGUUUUUGCGAUGUUUGGGGUUUUAAGCUUUUUCACUUCUUUACAACUUUCACAGUUUUGAACGGUCAGACCAAAAUGAGUUCUGAAGUGAUGGGAAACAGAAACGACGUCGAUUCGUGAAAUUCUUUUUUAAAAAUAAUUUAAUAAAAAUUUUAAAUUAAUAGAUUGAUAAAAUUUAAUAUAAAAAUUAAUAAUAUGUAAAUAAAUUAUGAAAAAUAUUAUUUAUUAUUUUAUUUUGAAUAUUUAUUAACGAUAAAAUUUUUAUUAAUUUUUUUAUUAAAAAUAUUUAUCUAAAAAUUAUUUUAAAAUUUAUUAAAAUAUUUUAAAAUUAUAUAUAUUUAAUUUAUAUAAUAAAAUCUUUUAAUUUAUCAAUUUUAAUUUAAUUAUUUUUAAUUGAAAAUUUUACAAAUUUUACUUUAAAAACUUUAUCUAAACUAUUCUCACGAAGUUCGUACUUUAGCUGUUAGGCUCUGUUUGGACCACUGUAAGUUGUUUGUGAUUAUUGGUAAUUUUGGCUCCCCAAAUCCAUUUUUCUUAAAAGAGUAAUUAUAUUAUUUUCAAAUUCUUAUCAAUUAUCUCAAAUUAUAAUUAAAUUUUAGUAAUUUUUUCCAUCAUCUUUACUACUUAGUAGAUACAGCUACUGACAUGUAUAUAUCAAACUGGUUCCUAUUUCACUGUCAAAUGUCAUUAGCAAGCUUAAAGUACAUUAAAGACAAAGAAAUUUACAUCUUAACCAACCCAAAAAAUUAUUAACAAUUAUUAAAUAUCAUUGAUUUAAUGAAAAUUUAUGUGCUCCAAAAUUUACAAUUUGUUCACUUUUUUCGUACUUCAUUUUAGUUUUAUCUGGAUCAUAUUCGAUUUAAUUUUUUUAAAUAUUAUAUAAUAUUAUAAAUUUUUUAAAUUAAAUUGAAUAUUUAUACGAUUUAAAUUGAAUUAUAUCAUAUUUUAUCAAUUCAGUUUAAUUUAUUAGUUUUUAAAUUUUUAAUUUUUUAUAUAUUAUUCUAAUAUAAAAUUUUAAUAUAUUUAAAUAAAAUUUGAUAUAAAAUUUUAAAAAAUCUAUAAAAAUUAAAAAUAAUAUAUAAUUCGAUUUAAUUCAAUUUUAAAAAAUUUUUCAUCUCUCUAUUUAAAUUCGAUCUAAAUCUAUUAUACAUAUUUAAUAUCUAAAUUUGAUUUGAACCGAAUAAAAAAAUGAUUCAAAUCAAAUCAAAUACUAUAAUUUUAAAUCAAUUUUUUAUUUUUUUUAUUUUUUUCUCACCACUUCCCCUUCUAACUUUCACAAUUUCAUUUUCUUUACAAAUAUUUUUUGGAUAAGUUGUCCUUUUUACAAAAAUUUUUGGAUAUUAGUACUCAAUAUGGCUUUCCAAAGUUUCUUUCAAUUUUACUAAUAUUUAUUUUUGUUCUAAAGUAAAUUUUCUUUUGUGUAAUUGUAAAAUUAUAUAUAUUUUUUAAAUCAAAACAAGCCUUAAAUAAAUCAAAUUUAGAUUAAAAAAUUUUACUUGUAUUUUUUUUUUAACUCAGAAACAAACAGGGCGUCACCUGAUAGUCCACGCGUGACUUUCACACGCAUCACGCAAGGGAAACUUAACAAGCAAAACGGCAUGUCGUUUUGAUCUGCUCUGUCACCUUCAACCAUCCUAUGCGGCAAUGCCCCAAGUUCCUUAAUCGAAUUUACCAAAAGACAAAAGAAGCACAGCUUUAGAAGCAGAAAUGUCAAAGCUGUUUGCAAGAAUUGCUGGGUUCUUUAGCAAUAGAACAUUCAUAGGUGUAGACAAAGCUGGGAAUCGUUACUUUACUAGAAAAGAAGAGAUUGAUGGUAUUCGUAAGUGGGUCUUAUCCCCUUUCCUUUUUAAUUCUAUUUUUCUUUUCAAGUUUUGAAUUUUUUUAUGGAUAUGAGUUUUUUUUAAUGAUCCUGUUUUGCAUUUUCUAUAUGGGUCUUAUAUUAGAGGCAUUGGUUUUGUUUCAAACUUUUGUUUUCUAAACUUUUUUGCUUUGGUUUCACGGAGUUUUCUAAAUGAAUUCAUGGAUUUUCCAUAUGGGAUUUUGAAGAAUUGUAAUAAACAUGUAAAGUUUGGGUUUCAUUUUUUGUUUCUAGUGGUUGCAAUUAGUAAUUGGAUAUUGGAAUUUUCCUGUGAUCAGCUUUUGCCUUCUUAGCUAUUUGAUUUGUUUGGAAAUUAGCUCUUUGUUUAUGAAAUAAUGUAGGAAAGACUUGAAACCUUCAAUUUAUCAACGUAUUAGGAAGAUAGAUAGCUCUAGUUUCAUUCGGUGUUUGACAAAACUUCAGUCUCUAGUUAUUUGGGGUCUAAUUAUGUUUGUUUGGUGUUCUUAAGCUGGAGUUUCGGUCUCUGUCUAUGGAAGUUUUAAAACUGUGAUACAAUUUUACUCCAAGCCUCAAAGUACUGGUCUGAGUGUGAAGUUAAAUCACAUUGGAGUAUGUUUACCCAUAUAGUGAGGUUUCGAAUAGGGGAAAAGGAAAAAAGAAAAAGAAAGCAGGAGUGAGAACAGCUUAUUUGUAACUAAUGCAGAAGUUUGUACGCCAUUACUAUUAAGUUUCUCUGAUAUCAUAGUUUCGUUGAUGCACUAGUAAAGGAGAAAAGAUGGGUGGAAUUCAAAGGAGAGGAAGAUCCAACCUCCAUCCCAGGUAAGCUUUUUAACAAAAGUUGCUUAUUUGUUAACCAUACCUGUUAACCAUAGCAUAAGGUAGGCAAAAGGUAACUGACCAGGCUGCAUGUGGAAAACUACCUAAAGCAUAAACUGCAUUGUGUGUUUCCGAUACUUAUGAUUUUUUGCAAUUUGAUUGCUGUAGUUGAAUGGAUAUGUUGGUUGAAUGGGCAGCGAAAGAUAGCUCCUACUCCUGAGGUACUUGCAAACAUAUUUCAUUGCAUGCUUUGAGAGUGCCUUUCUCUCCACUUUUCAAAGCAGCAAAACUUUCCCUCAUCAAAAGAUAAAGUGAAGCAGGAUUAUACAUUCAAAUACAUAAAUAUCUCUUAAAUUGAUAACAUAUUUGAUAGAAACAUUUUGGUUCCAUAGUCUUUUACUUUAGUUAUUAGUAUUUCUGGUAAGAUAUCCUGGUGGAAUCAUUUCAACUCUGAUUUUUUAGUAUAUUGUUUCUAUCUUCAGGAAAUAAUGGAACUUGAAGCAAGGCGUGAACGUGUUAGGCUUAAUGUUGCUCGUAUGUAUUACUAAUAAUAUCACUUUACAUGCUCUGUUACUGUAUUUUCUGAUAAAGAUUUGUCUUGCCCUUUGUUUUUGGAAAAGUUCUGAAGAAGGAAGAAGAGGAAAGGAAAGCCCGAGAAGGCAGUAAGAAGGCUGUGAACUCUGGUUAGCUGUUGUUCUUGUGUCCUUCCAUCUCCCUUUGCUAUUUUAUCUCACCCAAUUGUUGAUAAAUGUACUGUAAAUUUAUAGGUAAAGUUGGAGGUCCAGACUUAAAAAGCUUCAUUCGGCAAUUUCCUUCUGCUUCAGAAGGUAUUAUAUUCUUUUAUUGAACUAUGCAUCUGUCUAAAAUCUAAUCAAUAUAAUUUAUUGAAGCCCAGGUGCUAAUUACGUUUUCCUUCUGAUGUUUUUACUCUUAGGUGACAGAGUUGAACAAACAUCAGAUGGAAGGUAUGUGACUCAAACUGUUUUAUACCAUGAACAAUACAUUUCUGAGACUUGAAGCAAUUACAAUACAACUUGUUGAAUUGUUUAUCAUAGUGGCUUAUCUUUGUCCUAAUCUGAUUCCCAUGCUCGAUUUCCUUUCUUUUUUACUCACUGCUCUAAUGAAUAUUGUUCCAUACCCGCUUGGCUCUUCCCUACUGUUUCCUUUUCACUUUAGGUCUCUAUCGUGUUCCUCCCUGUAUUAUUUUUGUUUUGGAUUAUGUUUUGUAGAAAUAAUGUGUGGCAGCCAAGGAAUAUUAACAUAAUUGGUAGUUAACUAGUAGCACCUAGCGAUUCGUGUACUCGUGUCGUGUAAAAUAUUGAAAUUCAUAUAUACAUGCCUUGUUUUACAUGAAAAUUACGUGUCACAAUUCAUAUAGACAUGAAAACAUGAAAUGUGUUUUUUUGGUUUUGUUAAACUCAUGUAUAGUUAUUGUCAAAAUUUUAAACCGUGUUAUCUUUUUGUCCUUUAUUUAUAUCAUAUUCAUAUCGUAUCACCAUUUCGUGUUUUAAAUUGUCAGGUAAUAUUUCCCUCUUCCCCCUCUUUCUUAAGCAUACAAAAAUAAAAAUGACAUCAGAUAGAUUGAGUUGCCACUUGUGUUUAUUUCAUUUUCUUUUUAUCAUAUCAUGAAAAUUGCUCGAUGCUAUGAAUGCUUUAACAGCAUGCCUCCUAUUUUUAUAGGAUCAAAGAGACACAGGAAGAGAAAGGAAAACCACUUCCAGAGUAAGUUUCAGAUCCUUUUGGAAAAUUUACGUUUUAUGUUUGCUAGCACGGAUUACGAUUUCUUUUAUCCUCUAAACAUUCUUUGUUUUUCAGGUCUUCAGAACCAACAGGAUCCGGUGCAUCCUAUAAGCCAGGAACAUGGCAACCACCAACAUGAUAUUUGAUAAUCCUGGCCACGACGCCUACAGUUCUGCACUUUGAUCAAUCCACAGAAUCUAGUCUGGGAUAAAUCGAAUUUGUUGUUUGUUGAAUCCUGAUCUAAAUGAAUACAUUCUUUGGCUGAUUACAUUUGAAAUUCAUUUUUUGGUUGAGUUUUGUUUGAUGACAGUUUUUGUUGAAAUUUUCUCCAUGGAUGUAUAAUUGCAGGGUUAAUAUAAAACAUUUUGCUGCAUCAUGUUUAAGUUGCAGCCAGAAAUGUAGGGUGCUAAAGUUUUGGUAAUAUUCAUUUGUCACUUUCCCUGAACAUAAAAUAUUAAAAUUCACGUUUUCAUUUAUACGUUAUACAAAAAUUAAAUGUCAUAAUUUGUUUUACUGCAAAACCAUAAAAUAUAUAUUUAAAUUGUAUUAUUUUUAUAUUUUUUUAUAUCAUAUUCGUAUCAUAUUAUCAUAUUAUAUUUUAAAUUGAUAAGUUUAUCCAAAUAUUAUUUUAUAAAACGACAAUUGAAUUGGAUGGUCUUAGCUUAUACAUGUUUGACAUUUCUUGAAAAUUUUCAUUACAAAAUUAUGAAAAUAUUUAUGUAUUUAUGUUAAAUUUAUAUUCUCAUUUUAAAAAAUAAUAUCAAUUUACAGGUUUUUUUUAGUAAAAAAAAAAACUUUUUAAACAUAUGUGAAUUAUCUAAAAGAUUUUGAAGGUAACGAAAAUAAUUUAAAAUGAUAACUUUAUUGCUGAAAGCUGUCAUGUCAAGUUUCAAAACUCCAAUGGCCGAUCUUUUCCCGUUCAAAAAUCUAAACAAAUUUUUUUUUUAAUCACAGUUAAAAUAAUUUUUUAAUCAUGAUUAUAAUAAUAAUUAUUAUUAUUUUUAAUAAAAAAUUUAUAUUAAAUGUAUCUAAUUAAUAUUAAAAUUGAUAUUUAAAUUUAAUUUAUAUUAAUUAAAAUUUAACCAUACUUUAUUAAAAAUGCAGUUGCAUCACUUAAAAAGUAAGUGAAAUAAUCAUAAUUUUUUCUUAUUACUUUUACUAAGGUAAUAAUUCCUAUUAAAAAUAAGACAAAUAAAAAUUCAAAUUAUAAUUAUAUUAUCCACACGGGGAAAAAUAAUUUAUUUAUAAAAAUAUUUUAAAAACCAAAGAAAAAGUUUUUUGAUAAAAAGAUAAAAAUAUUAUAUAUGUAUGUAUAUAUUCCUAUGGAUUUGGAACAUAUUUUUCAGAUUCUUUCCCCUUUGUUCUUUUUCCAUUCGUCUUUGACUCUCUCUUAUUAAGCGUGAAGGCCACGCCUUUAUUGUUAUUAUUAUUCCGACUAAAAAUACGAAUCAAAUCUUAACCAUCCACGUGGACCAAUUCAGACAUAUUCUUGACCGAAGUUGUUUCCUUUUUCGCGCGGGACUUAACCGCCUUUCAGCCUUCUAUAUAAACGCCCCACUGUCUCUCUUAUUUUCUCAUCGUAUUCAAUCCAAGAGUUUUCAGGCAAGGGUAGGUUUCUAAACCAAACCUUUUCGUAUUUUCCUUGCUUUUCUUGUUUGUUGUGUUGGUUCUUUAUAUCUUUGUCUCUUGAGUUCUUCUAGUAUAUCUUUUUUAUGUUAAGAUUGGAUUAAUGAUCUUCUGAGGUGUCUUUAUUUGAGGCUUCAUGGGAUCCGAUUCUUGUUCCUUCUAGAAACACGUUUAGUUUGUUGAAUUUGGUGUUUGAUUUGAAUAGUUCAAGUAGUUGGUUUAAUUUAGUUUUAUACUAAUUGUAAAGGAUAUUCUGAUUCAAAUUUUUGUGAAUACAAGGAUUUUAAAGUCUGGGUUUAUGGCCUGGUUUGGACCUGGUUUUUGUUGAAACUUGGUUGGUCUUGAAAGAAAAUUGUAGCUGUUGAUACGAGGUUCUACCUUUAUUAAGUCUGUUUUUGUUGAUCAUAUACAAAUCUCUUCUUGUUGUUUCAUACGGUAUAAAUUUUUGUGAUGAAGAUUAUUAUGAUGUGUUCCUGAGUUCCAACAAUUCAGGGUUUGUUUAUUUUUGCAGUAGUAGUGCUAAAGAAACAAAACAAGCACCCGUAGAUCGUUCGAAGUCUCUACUUAACUAAGUACAUGGUUGAUUUAGACAUUCAUAUCCCUACUACUUUCGAUCCAUUCGCUGAGGCUGGGGAAUUUGGUGGCACUGGAACCAAGGACUAUGUGCAUAUACGAAUUCAACAGAGGAAUGGGAAGAAAAGCUUGACAACAGUUCAGGGGCUGAAACAAGAUUUGAGCUACGAAAAGAUCCUCAAGAGUCUAAAAAAGGAGUUCUGUUGUAAUGGGAAUGUUGUGAAUGACAAAGAGCUAGGCAAAAUCAUUCAACUCCAAGGUGAUCAACGCAAAAACGUGUCACACUUCCUCGUUAAUGCUGGCAUAGUGAAGAAGGAUCAAAUUAAGAUUCAUGGUUUUUAGGACCUGUGAAGUUGAUGCUGCUGCUCUUUUAUGAAUUAGGACCUUUGAAAAAUAAAUUUCUAGGCUGUCUCUCGUUUGGUCUUGUUUCCAUUCCACAGCCCCUGGUGGGUUGAAACCAUAAUGGAAUGUAAUGUUGGAGUUUCAUUAAUAAUGUUGGAUUUUAUUUGCUUUCAAUCUUUGCCUUUAAUUUCUACCUUUUGAUCUUUGCUGGUGCUAUGCCGAUACUGCACUUUGGUGCAUGAACUUUAGCAAUUGGUUCAACUGAUGUGUGGCUGUGAUUGUCUAUUCGGCCUUGUAAUAUACGUAUUGCAACCUUGGUUUUGUUUGUUCAAGCUUAAACAAUCUCUCUUCUCAAAAUCCGUUAUAUAUCAGGCACAAGAUUCACCGAAAAAUGUAAGUAAAUAACUAUAUGCAAUAUGUUACACUCAAAAUGACAAAACAAAACCAGACAAAGUUAUGUAUGAAGACCUACAAGAUCACUUAAAGCCAUUGUGCACUACGUUUAGGAAAUUUUUGAUGAUUUUUGUGAGUCCAAUCAUAUAAUUCUAAAAGAGUUGGCCUUGUUGGGUUCCACUUCUCAUCAUGUCGCAGAACUCCUCAUAGUUGAUUUUACCAUCCUGUAAACAAGGGAAAAGUGAGAACUGACGCAUCAUGCUGCAUGGAAAAUGUGCUUCAACAGGUAAAAAAGGGGCUUACAUUGUCCGUGUCAACUUCAGAUAUUAUUUCCUUGAUUGUGUCAUCAUCACCCAUUCCAUAUUCUUUCAUGGCAGCUUCUAGCUCAUCUCUUGUGAUAUACCUGCAAAAACUUACAAACACGUUAUUGAUUCCUUCCGUAUCUGAUUUAAUGGUUAGUUCUGGCUCAAAAAGAAAAGAAAAGAAUUAAUGGUUAAUCAAGGAUCCCAUGUCAUUGAUAUAAUGUGCCCAAAAUAUACUAAUUCAGAGCAGCCAAAUCUUAUAGCCACCAAACUAAAGCAAAACUCAAUACACGAAGACAAGAUCAAAUAUAGCACAGCAAUUAUAAAUGAGCAAGUAUGAUGUCUGGCCAGAUCUGGCCAUGGAAAAUUGCACGGAAAAAGAACAGUAUAAAUAUAUUCAGAGUUAAGACAGAAAUCUAACCAGCUGUUGUCCGUAUCAAAAUGUUGAAAAGCUUUAUACAAAUGUUCAUCUCUUUCAAGCCUAUGUCUGUGCAUUGUAUCAGUGAUAAAUUCAAUGUAGUCAAUAGUACCAUUUCCAUCCACAUCAGCCUGCAACAAAAAACCAAGGUUAGUAUGCAUGAUGUGAAUUAGAAUACAUCUACAUAUUAUAGAUCUAAAUACACUGUCUUACAGCUUCCAUCAGUUGCUGAACUUCAUCCUCCGUGAGCUUUGAUCCAAGUCAAGCUAAUCCAGUCUUAAGUUCAUCAUAGGUGAUUGUGCCACUGUUGUCAGUGUCAAUGUUUGCAAACAUUUGCUUCAGACCUUGGAUUUCUUCUGUAGAAAGAUUUUCUGCGAUGACCUAUAAUCCACCAGGAAUGUUAUUUGCUGAAGGUGAAUUACACAUUAGCAAUGGAAUAACUGGAGAUCGCAAAAUGACUUGCUGUUUUGCCAUCAUACAUCAGAUAACACAAAACUCAUGACUAACGAGUCACAUGCCUAUCUCUCUCUGACUACCAAUUUCAGAAAACAAUGAUACAAUAUAAAUAAAUUUAAACUUACCUUUAAGGCAAGUUGCUUUAGUUUGUUCAUUCUUCUGAAUUGCUUCAUUCUGGAAAGGACUGCACUGUCUAGUGGCUUGUCUGAUGCACUUCCACCUUCUCUUAUUCAUGGAUGCUCUUAAUAAACCAUAGAAUUUUAAUCUUUGGAUUGCACUUGACAUGAAUUAUAUUAACUCAUAAGCCAAGCAUGACAUGGUAGAAUAAAGCACACAAACACACAGAUAUAGAGAAUUUUGCAUUGUUCCAACUGAUUUUCCUUUAACACAUAUACAUGAUGGAAUGCCCGGAUGCAUAGCAGUAGCAGAUGAAGAUAGAACGAACAGGUUAAAGUACAUAUUUUUUAACCUAUUGCUAGAGAUUAACUACUUCUACAAAUGCACAGCCAAAAACAAAAAAAACAAAGAAAACUAUUUCUGUAAAUAGUACCUAGGACUUGAGAAGAAGUAAUCCGUUUUUUUGGGUCCUGUGUUAACAUUUUGCGGACUAAGUCCUUGGCACUGUCUGAAAUAGAUGGCCAUGGUUGACUUUCAAAGUCAAUUUCUCCUUCCAAAAUAGCAUCAAAUAUCCCCUUCUCCUUUUCUGUGAGGAAAAACCUCCAUUAAAUUAUCUACUAACAUUGAAGUAGCAGUUUUGAAGGCAAUUAAGUACAGUGACAGGUCAGGUUUUGGCAAUUGAUGACAUUAUUUUCCUUGAGUAAGCUUUAAAUUUUACCUGCCUAAAAUGGAGGCACGCCACUGAGUAAGAUAUACAAUAUAACUCCUGCACUCCACAUAUCAAUUUCCUUUCCAUAUCUACGCCGUAAUACUUCAGGAGCAACAUAGUAAGCACUCCCGACUAUAUCCCGAUACACCUUUCAUGCCAAAGGUACCGAGAACAAUAAGAAAAGAAUGAAAAUGGUUAUAUUACACACAGACAUGCAUGAGAUAUGAUUUUUUUUUUUUCAUUUUCAGAAAGAAUUCACUUUCAAAGGCCAAUUAUUGCCAAGCAUAAUUCAUGUUAUAUACUUAUAGUGAAUGAAUAUGUGAAUAUAUGUAUCCCUGUUAUAUUUGUGUUCGCAGACACCGGUGCACAUUCAUGCACGUUUAAACUUCAAUUUAAGCAAGUGACAUGAUGUUUGUAGUCUUUAUACAAAUUUUAAUUCAGUAUAAAGCUAUGCAACUUUCACACAGUUAUAGAAGUCAAAUUCUAUCACCAUAUAAAUGAAAUUUAUUCUUCUGAGUCAGUUUAAGGGAAAUCAAGAAAAAUGAAGCUAAACCAGAAUUUCUGAAAGCAGCACUUCCUUUAUGCAUGGAUGAAACUUAUUCACUGCUAAACAUAGUAUGAAGAUUAGGGCAUAAACAUAGAGGAAACAUCAAUAUAAAUGCUGGACACUAAUACAGUUUCAGUUAAAGACAGCUGACCUAUUCAGCUUCUAAGUACAAAGUGAUGGCUUUCUUGGACUUAAUCAACCAGGUAUAACAAAUGGCCCAUUCACCAUUUCUAUUUUGUGACAAAUGAUGAUCCCAGAGAAAAAAGUUGAACUUUCAAAAUGUUAUAGUCACACAAUAUCAUAUACAAUUAAACUAAAUUGUGAAUAGGAAAUGCAGGCAAUGAAUUCAAGGAGAUGGCCAAGUCAAAUUGGGGAAGCUUACCUGCCAUCUUAAUUGGCAGAAAAUGCCAUCUGAACCAAUACUAUUUCAGAAUUCUAAUUAACUUAAUUGACUUAUUCUUCUUUCAAUACUAGCAAUAUUAUUUAGGGGUUAGGGAAAAGCUUAGAAUCAUUCAUGAGCGGGUGGUUAAGACGAACUAACAAUUUACAUGCAUAGAAUAAAGAUCCACAGCAGAACAUGCUAAAACAAUAGGAAUAUGCAUAAAUUUCCAGCAAACGAGAACCAAAAAUUGAAUGUGCAAAUGACCAGAUAAAAAGAGUGAUAACAAUUUACCCCUUUCAAUGAAUACCGAUAACCUGAAAUCUGUGGCCUUCAAAGGAGCAUUCUCAUCCUUGCUAGACAACAAGAAAUUCUCAGGCUUAAGGUCCCUAUGCAUCACACCCAUAAAAUGACAAGCAUGGACAACAUUUACAAUUGCCCUGCAUAUGG